rnacentral:rRNA from 1 species
UCUGGUUGAUCCUGCCAGUAGUCAUAUGCUUGUCUCAAAGAUUAAGCCAUGCAUGUCUAAGUACAAACCUUAAUACGGUGAAACCGCGAAUGGCUCAUUAAAUCAGCUAUGGUUCCUUAGAUCGUCUCAUCCUACUCGGAUAACUGUGGAAAAUCUAGAGCUAAUACGUGCUUACAAGCCCUGACCUCACGGGAGGGGCGCAUUUAUUAGAUCAAAACCAAUCGGGGCUUGCCCCGUCUGCUUGGUGACUCUGGAUAACUUUUGUGCUGAUCGCAUGGCCUCUGCGCUGGCGACGUAUCUUUCAAGUGUCUGCCCUAUCAACUUACGAUGGUAGGUGAUAUGCCUACCAUGGUUAUAACGGGUAACGGGGAAUCAGGGUUCGAUUCCGGAGAGGGAGCCUGAGAAACGGCUACCACAUCUAAGGAAGGCAGCAGGCGCGCAAAUUACCCACUCCCGGCACGGGGAGGUAGUGACGAAAAAUAACGAUACGGGACUCUUUUGAGGCCCCGUAAUUGGAAUGAGUACACUUUAAAUCCGUUAACAAGUAUCUAUUGGAGGGCAAGUCUGGUGCCAGCAGCCGCGGUAAUUCCAGCUCCAAUAGCGUAUAUUAAUGUUGCUGCAGUUAAAAAGCUCGUAGUUGGAUCUGAGGACUCGAAUUGGUGGUGCACCAUACGGUGUUACUGCCGAUUCGGCCUACCUAGUCGGUGCUCGCUCUUGGUGUUCUUAAUUGAAUGCCCUGAGUGCCCGGCAAGUUUACUUUGAAAAAAUUAGAGUGCUCAAAGCAGGCCAUUAGCCGGAAUACUUCAGCAUGGAAUAAUGGAAUAGGACUUCGGUUCUAUUUUGUUGGUUUUCGGAACCCGAGGUAAUGAUUAAGAGAGACAGACGGGGGCAUUCGUACUGCGGUGUUAGAGGUGAAAUUCUUGGAUCGCCGCAAGACGAACAACUGCGAAAGCAUUUGCCAAGAAUGUUUUCAUUAAUCAAGAACGAAAGUCAGAGGUUCGAAGACGAUCAGAUACCGUCCUAGUUCUGACCAUAAACGAUGCCAACUGGCGAUCCGAGAUCGUUUGCUUAUUGACCUCUCGGGCAGCCUCCGGGAAACCAAAGUUUUUAGGUUCCGGGGGAAGUAUGGUUGCAAAGCUGGAAACUGUUCAAUUGCAACUCUGCCUGUGACACCAAGUGGUCGGGUUACUUGGUCUGUUCUGGCCGGAGUCCGGAGUCGGUAGGGUUUCCGGCCUUGUGCUCUUUCCUUACUGUUCUCUGUAACGCCGAAGGCGGGGCUUCCACGGUGGGGAAGCGGUUGUACAAAUCCGGCAAAUCCAGCCAAAUGGGUUCCGGACUCUGUCCAACCUGCAACUGGUAACAGCCUCGGCUGGCUAACAUUUGAGCUGGGACUCGCUUGGAGGAGCGAGGAUAAUAUAAACCUCUAUGUGACUGAGGUGAGGAAUCUGGUUCUCGUAAAAUGGCUGGAGAUCCCGAGCCUGUAAGUCAUAAAUUAGUUCCCCACGAGGGGAGGUGUCGAAUUGAAGCCAGUGCGUGCCCUUACUAGUUUAAGGGAUUGUAUACUUCCUUUGGUGUACCCACCUGGAAGUGCCCAAGGGGUCCUAUCCCUGCACUCCAUCCCCGAUUGGAGUCAGGUGACGGCUCCUUA